UGUUAAUUCUUGCAUAUUCGCUUGCCAAAUAAUAUCGCCAUACAGUUUGUAAACACUGAUCUACUGGAUUUACGACAUAAGGGUAUUUUUUGCAGAUUUUAAUGCCCCUUUCGAAUUAGGGAGAUUACUAAGGAUCGGGCUCUGUUUCAGCCAGAGACUAUGGAGGAAGCGGAUGAUGAAGGACUGGAAUGGCCGGGACGGACCCUGCACCACGAAAAAGUGUUUCAGGAGUUAUCAGACCGUGGACUCGAAUCCGGGUUCUCCUGCAUGGCACGUUGACAAGGUUACUAUUCGAUGAUCCAGCAGCCGAAGCAAAGGGUCGGAUAGCUUACGCUAGUUUUGUUAUGCCAUUAUGUCGCACGACACUGUCACUUAUAAAAGCCAUCAUAGGUUGGCCAACACCUAUGAGGAGGUCAGCCGGAUGGUUGAUUGAGGCGUUAAGCAGCCCGCGACCGGAUUCUUCCUGAAAAGCUGGCAGUAUGGGAUCUGGAUUUUAUUCCGGAUUCACCAGGUGGUAAGCUACAGCUUUACCACGCAGCCAUGCCGGAUUGAAAGGUGGAUAUAUUCUGUUUCCAAAGAAAAGAAUUGUAUAAAAAUUUAUAUCAUGCUGUAAAUAUUGUAAAGUUAAUUUCAUUUCUUUCUGUUUUAUUAUCCCUUUUGGGAGGCUGAUAUUUGCCUGUGUCAUUCGUCAUGGUGUGCCUCGUUACUUGAUUAGCUUCUGCUGGAAAGAGAUAAGUAACAAAG
rnacentral:lncRNA from 1 species